UACGAAGGGUGCAAGCGUUACUCGGAAUUACUGGGCGUAAAGCGUGCGUAGGUGGUUUGUUAAGUCUGUUGUGAAAGCCCCGGGCUCAACCUGGGAAUGGCAAUGGAUACUGGCAAGCUAGAGUGCGGUAGAGGGUAGUGGAAUUCCCGGUGUAGCGGUGAAAUGCGUAGAUAUGCGGAGGAACACCGAUGGCGAAGGCAAUCCCCUGGGCC
rnacentral:rRNA from 1 species